rnacentral:rRNA from 1 species
AACAGGAAGCAGCUUGCUGCUUCGCUGACGAGUGGCGGACGGGUGAGUAAUGUCUGGGAAACUGCCUGAUGGAGGGGGAUAACUACUGGAAACGGUGGCUAAUACCGCAUAACGUCGCAAGACCAAAGAGGGGGACCUUCGGGCCUCUUGCCAUCAGAUGUGCCCAGAUGGGAUUAGCUUGUUGGUGAGGUAACGGCUCACCAAGGCGACGAUCCCUAGCUGGUCUGAGAGGAUGACCAGCCACACUGGAACUGAGACACGGUCCAGACUCCUACGGGAGGCAGCAGUGGGGAAUAUUGCACAAUGGGCGCAAGCCUGAUGCAGCCAUGCCGCGUGUAUGAAGAAGGCCUUCGGGUUGUAAAGUACUUUCAGCGGGGAGGAAGGUGUUGUGGUUAAUAACCGCAGCAAUUGACGUUACCCGCAGAAGAAGCACCGGCUAACUCCGUGCCAGCAGCCGCGGUAAUACGGAGGGUGCAAGCGUUAAUCGGAAUUACUGGGCGUAAAGCGCACGCAGGCGGUCUGUCAAGUCGGAUGUGAAAUCCCCGGGCUCAACCUGGGAACUGCAUUCGAAACUGGCAGGCUUGAGUCUUGUAGAGGGGGG